rnacentral:misc_RNA from 1 species
GGAAAAUUGGUUAGGUUACCUGUCUUUUGUGGUCGCGUUCUUCAAGCUUCCUUCAGUGUUGAACACGAAGAAAGCCAAGAUAAAGCUCAAACCAUAGCUGGCUAUUUGGAAAGGCAAUUAUUUUUGGGAUAAAAGAAACAGGUUACUUUCCGUUAGUAGAGGAAUGUUUAUGGAAAGGCCAAAGGUUCGCCAAGCGCUCAAGCACUGCAGCACUUUUGGAGAAGUAGCCAGAGAAGCCUGCGGGAGCUGACGGAGGAGGAAAAUCUUCUGCUGGCAUUGCAAAAGGACGCAUCAUUGUUUCCAUUUUCUCUAGCGUUAGACAUGAUCCCACUUCUUG